UUACGGCUAUAUCACGUUGAAAUACUAGUUCUCAUACGAUCAUCGAAGUUAAGCAACGUCGAGCCUGGUCAGUACCUAAAUAUGUGACCGUUUGGGAAUAGCAGCUGCUGCAAG